UACGGAGGGUGCAAGCGUUAUCCGGAAUUACUGGGCGUAAAGCGUGCGCAGGCGGUUUGUUAAGUCUGUUGUGAAAUCCCCGAGCUCAACUUGGGAAUUGCAAUGGAUACUGGCAGGCUGGAGUAUGGUAGAGGAAGGUGGAAUUCCCGGUGUAGCAGUGAAAUGCGUAGAGAUCGGGAGGAACACCAGUGGCGAAGGCGGCUCUCUGGUCCAUUCCUGACGCUGAGGUGCGAAAGCUAGGGGAGCAAACGGG
rnacentral:rRNA from 1 species